rnacentral:rRNA from 1 species
AGUGAACGCUGGCGGUAGGCCUAACACAUGCAAGUCGAACGGCAGCACAGUAAGAGCUUGCUCUUACGGGUGGCGAGUGGCGGACGGGUGAGGAAUACAUCGGAAUCUACUUUUUCGUGGGGGAUAACGUAGGGAAACUUACGCUAAUACCGCAUACGACCUACGGGUGCAAGCAGGGGAUCUUCGGACCUUGCGCGAUUGAAUGAGCCGAUGUCGGAUUAGCUAGUUGGCGGGGUAAAGGCCCACCAAGGCGACGAUCCGUAGCUGGUCUGAGAGGAUGAUCAGCCACACUGGAACUGAAACACGGUCCAGACUCCUACGGGAGGCAGCAGUGGGGAAUAGUGGACAAUGGGCGCAAGCCUGAUCCAGCCAUACCGCGUGGGGGAAGAAGGCCUUCGGGUUGUAAAGCCCUUUUGUUGGGAAAGAAAAGCAGCAGGUUAAAACCCCGCUGUUCUGACGGUACCCAAAGAAUAAGCACCGGCUAACUUCGUG